ensembl:piRNA 21ur-14711 ncRNA
UGUCGUACACUAUCGCCUCGU